GGUUGGUGCCCUACUCCUUUGAGCCACAGGUGCUGCCCCCAAAAACUUACAUUUCUUAAUGCUGAGUACUUAACUCAGCAGUAACCAUGUGUUGAAGAUAUUUAAAGGCAAACUAAAGAAUUAGGGACACAAAUCUUUCACAACUAUCUACAGUGUGUAUAAUGUAACAUCCUUUGUGAAAUUGUUUUUAUUUCCUUGGUGUAGUAUUAGAAAUUUAGUCUUGUUUUAUUAUGUCAUUUGUUUACACUUAAUUAAGAAUGUAACUUAGAAAUUAAACAGGAAACGGGGUCCACUUAAAAAUGGGCUAUUAGAGCUUUCCCAAUACUCUCAUAGUGUGUUCAUUAAGUGACAGUGUUAUGUAACCAGAAACUUGGAUAAAUAAGAGAUGCAGAACUUUGGAAACUAUUCAAAAACUACAGCCAUAAAGAGACUAAUUGCAGUUCUAUGAAUUUCUAAAGUCAUCUUCUGACUUGAAAAACAUCAAUUUACUCUGUGGGUCACUUUGUAUCACCAACACCCUUAUUUUACAAAAACAGAAACAAGUACUGAAUGCACACAUCCCACAGUGGAGACAUUCAACCCAAACUCACGCAUUCAAACGUUUCUGAACAACUUAUGCUUGUGCAAAAAGGUGUCGCUGAAGAGUUAAGUGAGAUGAAGCAUGUAGAUCAUUUCACAGGCACCUGGCAACCAACCAGUCAUUACUCGACAUUGCCUAUUCCUGUCCUUAAUUUUCCAACUUUAGGCAAACUAGAUGGUUAAAAAAUCAUAUAUGUGACUAUGUGCAUGUAAUAUACAUAACUAAUAACAUAUUAGUUUAAUAUACUAUAAGUAAAGCUGGUAUUUAUUGUAUAAGUAAUGGUCUUAACCAAGACAAAGGUGAGUCUGUGACAGAUGACCCACAAAGGAUGGAAAACUUAAGGAGUAAAGUGUUAAAUGUUAGUUUAUCUCUGUUUAUCAAUUAAGAAUUUAACCUCCACGUGGUAUAGAAUAAAUUACAAUUACAGUCAGGUGAUCCUUGAGAACUUGCUCCAAACCAACAGUCAGACCUCACACACGUGCGCAAGCGGCCAUUUAUUUGCAAGGCUGGACCAACCACUGACACAGGAUCACUCCAAUACCGACGCUGAAAUCCUACAUGAAUUCAUUACCCGGUCUCAAGCUGGAAAAAUCUUAUUUCAAGUCACUACACACACAAAAAUACCCCCAAACACUUCAACUCCAAAGCUACAGCAUCAGGCCGCGAGCAGUCUUUUAAAACACUGCAGUCCCCGCCACGUGUCAUUUAUUCUGACAGGGCAGGUGCACCUGCAGCUGCAGAGCGCGCGCUUUCGACUACACGCCACGCUCAGGGAGCCGCGGGCCCUCCACCGCCAAAGACCUAGGGGGGCCGCCGGCUUCCCGACGCGGCGGGGACUCCGCACGCCGCCACUCCCAUGCCGAGUCGGCCUGGCUGCAGAUCCACGUGCGCGAGCAGGACGCGGACCCGAGCCCACCUCCCCGGCGUCCCUCCCGCGGGGCCCGGGCUCCACUCACGCGCCCGGGGCGGCACCGGGGCCGUCGCCGCGUCUCUCCGUUUCAAAAACUGAAAGGGGGAAGCGGGAGGAAAAAGCCAAAAAAAAAAAAGACCUGGCUCCUCGUUUCAUCCGGAAACCGACGGGCCGGCAGGAAGUGACGAAGGCGGAGGGCGACGGCUGCGCUCGGUCCCGGUUCCCGCGCGCCCGGCCCCGACGCCGGGGAAAGCGCCCGGGAGCGGAGCAGCGCCGGCCGCGAGCCGCCCUCGGAGCCGGCGGAGGGAGCGGCCCGACGCCCCGCCCCUCCCGGCCGCGUCACCGGCCCCGCCCCGCCCCUCCCGGCCGCGUCACCGGCCCCGCCCCGCCCCCAGCCCGGCCCCGUCCGGACCUCGGCGCGCGGGCGCUCGGGGGGCUGCGCGUCCGGGACACGCGCGCGGAGGAGCCGCGGGGCCCAUCGCGGGGCUGCGCGGGCGGGCGGCGCGCGUCGGCGGGACUGGGCUGAGGCGGCGCCGGGGGCUCCGGGCCGCUUCUCGGAGAGGAGGACGCGGUGUCGCCGCCCGACUCGGUUUCCUUCCGGGAGGAGCCGGCCUCGCCCGAUUGGGGUCCCGGUUGAAGAGUCGGGGUGAGAGCCCCAUGGCCGGAGGGUAUGGAAUGAUGGGAGACGACGCCUCUAUUGAUUACACUGUUCAUGAAGCCUGGAACGAAGCCACCAAUGUUUACUUGAUCGUUAUCCUCGUUAGCUUCGGGCUCUUCAUGUA